rnacentral:rRNA from 1 species
UCCGUUAGUAGUGGCGAGCGAACGCGGACCAGGCCAGUGGCCUUUAUGUUAGAACCUGAACCAUCUGGAAAGUUGGACCAUAGUGGGUGAUAGUCCCGUAGGGGUAGAAGACAUAGAGGUCCUUGAGUAGGGCGGGACACGUGAAAUCCUGUCUGAACGUGGGGGGACCACCCUCCAAGCCUAAGUACUCCUUGGUGACCGAUAGUGAACAAGUACCGUGAGGGAAAGGUGAAAAGUACCCCGAUGAGGGGAGUGAAAUAGCGCCUGAAACCGAAUGCUUACAAUCUGUGGGAGCUCCCUUGAGGAGUGACCGCGUACCUUUUGUAUAAUGGGUCAGCGAGUUAAUUUUACGAGCAAGCUUAAGCCGUUAGGUGUAGGCGCAGCGAAAGCGAGUCUGAAUAGGGCGUCAUAGU